UCUAUACAAACCUGAUAGAUCUAUCUAUCUGUUUGGUGUGUGACAGAUCCCGGAUGCACAAAGCUCACACUGUGGUUCCCAUAGAGGAGGCUGCCCAGGAGUACAAGGAAAAGAUCCAGGCCCAUUUGAAGACACUAAGGAAAGAGAGAGAAAAGCUCUUGGGAUUUAAAGUGACUGGAGAGGAGAAAUUCCAGGAGUAUCUGAUACAGACGCAAACCGAGAGGCAGAAGAUUGUGUCUGAAUUUCAGCUGCUGCGGCAGUUCCUGGAGGAACAAGAGCGACUCCUGUUGGCCCAGCUGGAGAAGCUGGACAAGGAGAUUGUGAAGAUACAGAAUGAAAAUAUCACUAAAUUCUCUGAGGAGAUUUCCCGUCUCAGUGAGCUGAUUAGUGAGAUGGAGGGGAAGUGUCAGAAGCCAGCCAGUGAAUUUCUGCAGGAUUUCAAAAGCACCUUGAGCAGGUGUGAGAAGGGGAAGUUCCAGCAGCCAGUGGAGAUUUCUCCUGAGCUGGAAAAGAGACUCAAGGAUUUCGCCCAGAAAAAUAUUGCUCUAACGGAGACCGUGAGGAAGUUCAAAGACAUGCUGCCCUCUGAAGUAGAGACAAGAAGAGGGAAAUCCCUAGGAUCAUACAGACCAGUGAAUGUGACUCUGGAUCCAGACACGGCUCAUCCCCAGCUCGUCCUGUCUGAGGAUCGGAAAAGUGUGAGAUGGGAAGACACACGAAAGGAUCUGCCCAAAAAUCCUGAGAGAUUUGACUCUGACAUUUGUGUGCUGGGGUUUGAGGGAUUCACCUCGGGGAGACAUUGCUGGGGGGUGGAGGUGGGCAAUAGGGGAUACUGGGCUGUGGGAGUGGCCAAGGAAUCUGUGAGGAGGGAGGGAGGGAUCAGCCCUACCCCUGAGCAGGGAAUCUGGGCAGUGGAGCGGUGCUGGGAUCAGUUCCAGGCUCUCACUUCCCCUCGCACUCCUCUACCUGUGAGCUGGGUCCCCAGCAGGAUCUGGGUUUGUCUGGACUGUGAACGGGGGCAGGUGACAUUUUUCGAUGCUGGUGACGAGACCCCACUGUUCACUUUCCCACUGGCCUUGGUCCCUGGGGAGAGAAUCCGACCCUGGCUCUGGGUGGGGGGAUCCCAGCUCAGACUGUGUCCCUGAGAGGGGUCGGGGAGGAGAUAUACCCUGGGGAUGUGAAAUUAGCAUCUCUGGCCUCACACUUCCUUUUUUCUAUGACCCUGGAAGUCUCCUGUCUUCCUGCAGACUUUCUACCCUGCAGUCUGUAGUGCCCUGGAGGCUCUGUGGGGUGCCUGACCUGUCAAACCAUAGCGAGCAGGGGGUGAUUGAGGUAGAGAAGACAAUCUCAUUGACCCAAGGAUUUUGUAGCCUUUUUGUCACUGUCCUCUCUGGCGCAGGAAGUCAGACUGUGGCACUGAGACAUGGUGGGAACAGCCCACUGGGAAUAAAAAAUGGGCUUCUCUAGCCUAAGUCAUCUUAGUGUCUGUGAUCAUGGAGGACUCUCAUCUACCUACCCCCUGGCUCAUCUCUUUGACCCUGGAGAACAUCUGUCCACCCAACCACGAAUACCUCAUCUCUAUGACACUCCUGCCUCCUCCCCCUGUGCAGCCCUAGGAAUGGGAAGGGGGAGGGGUUGAAGAACCUCUGGAGCAGCAGGAGGAGAAGAGGGACCCUGAUGGGGCAGACGUGGGGGCUGCAGGAUCAGAACUGAUGGAGGGUCAGGAGUGACGUGGGGGCUGGGGCUCUAAUUACCAGUUGGGCUGGGGGAC